CUCAUACAUAUUUAAAGAGAUAUCUUAACAUAUAGAUAAUUUAUUGUCAAGAUGAAUAUUCUCUAAUGCCAGAGGGUAUCUCUUUAAAUAUGUAUAUGUUUAGUAUAUAACAUACCAAUAAGGAAGCGUUAUUGCUUAGAAAAGGGAUUCGAUAUAUAAUCAAUCGAAGUAAUGGGUCUUCCUUUGUGAUCAUAAAUUGCCUACUUAACUCAGUGGUUAGAGUAUUGCUUUCAUACGGCGGGAGUCAUUGGUUCAAAUCCAAUAGUAGGUAGGUAGGUAGAAAAAUUACUAGAUAGCAUUGGGCUUAUUUCGCUUCGCUAUCUAAUAACUUUUUCUACCCCUCUUCCCUUUAUCUUUGUAUCAACUAUAAACCAUUGGAUUGUCUUCAAUUGGAUGGGGGAAUCCAAUUGACAGCCUCGAUUCGUAUCCUAGCUCGUCUGAGAGCUAGUUUCGCUUCAACCAAUUCUUUUGUACCCUCAGCUUUACUCAAGUUAUCUUCGGCUAUUUUAAGUGCCUGUUGAGCUUCUUCCGGAUCAAUAUCACUACCCAGUUCCGCAUCAU